AAAGAACUGGCGGUAGUUUAUGCAUAUGCUUAGCUUGACGUAGACAAUUCCAAGUUAUUGGCGAGUUUUAAAAACGUCUAAGUUAGAGACCAAAGAAAAUCUGAUGUGUGGAUUACUUACAUUGAACUUUAAAUAGGUAUUGUUUUUCAACAAUAAAACAAUAAACUGCAUUUAUCUUUUAUAAGAGGUUUUGGAUGGAAUCAACACCAACAGUUGUCUUCCUGAUGAUGAAUUGUUAAACAUAUACAAAACCCUGAUUUAGGAAAAGGUGAUUACAAUAGGAGUAUUCUGAUGUCAACUUUCUGCCACACUAGGAAGUGAGGAGAAACUGUAAGAAUUUAGAUAUCGUUAGAUUCCAGAGACUAUGUGAUAGUCAAAGAGAAUGGAUAUAAUGUCACGUUUUGACAGAAAAUGGGUAUAAUUUGUCACAAACAAAGGGUAAGAUUUGAAAAUUUUAAUGAUUUACAAAUAAAGGCAUAAUUUUGUAAUUUUGAAGCAUGUAGAAUUCAAAUAAUUAUCAAAACUACUUAGUAUAGUUUUAGAAUAUUACCAGUUAUGCAUGUUGUUGUUAUUAGCAUUGCUUGAAUUUGUGGCAAACUGCAUCUGUCUCCAUUGGAACUUAGAAGGAUCUUCCUGAAUACCUGUGGACCCAGAACUAGAAAAAAAUGGAGUUUACAGGCUACUGUAAAACAUGCUUUAACCCUCCUAUUAUGUUCAGAAUUUAGGUGCAUCUGUUUCAGAUGAUAUUUACCUGGUGCAAUUUCAAACAAAUUGAAACUGCCUUGAUGAAUAACUUUUUCAUUAGAUAGCUUUUACUGUGUUAAAUGUUAUAAUUUAAUGUCAAUUUUCAUUGUAAUAAAUUCAAAAAUAUAUAUAUAAUUUCAUUAUAAUAUUGUGGGAACUAGUGUUGGAUCAAAUAAGUCCAGAAGGGUUAAACUUAGUCUAGUAUUAAGUUGUUGUCAUUGCUUUACUUUCCUAUCACUGGUGAAUUUAGUAACAUACACAAUUUUAUAAUUAAAAUCAUCAUCGUUUCAUUCCAUCUGAACAAAAAAUAAAUGAUACUAAUAAUUUAUUCUCAGACUUCUGAGCACAGUCUCAAGAAAAAGGAAAUUCAAAGAUACAAUAUCUAGGAUUAAAAAUGUUUAAGUUCCUGAAUCUAAACCACAUUCACAUGAUCAUUCAGUAUCUGAAAUAUAAUAAACUAGAAGAAUAGUAAAGGACUCAACUAAAAACUUCAUGCUGAGGUUAAUGUACAUACAUGUUUCUUAGAUAUAGCCUAAUGUAAUUAUUUUAGUUUAAAGGUUAAAAGAGCUGUCGUUUUUGUCUCCUAAGACUUUUUAAACAAGAUAUGCUUUUGUUAUUGGGGAGCAUCAUAUCCAUGAAAAUAAAAAAUAUUUUAUUUUAAUAAAUUAUGUUCCUCAGUGGAAGAGGUUUGAGAGAAGUUAAGGCAUUAAACAAGAUUAGAUACCAGGUACACUUGUCAAAGUGUUGUAAGGAAAGAAAAUAAAAGUAUUUUGAUGUUAGUUAUGAAAAUAGCUUCGUGAUGUAAAGUCAAAUAUAAAACUAUCAAGAUAAAUCUAUAUAUAUCUAACAGAAACAAGAUAAUUUUGUUUAUUAAUAAAAAACCUUUUUUUAUCCUUGAAUAAAAAAGUGCUUUAUAUUAAAUUUAAUGAAAUGUAGAAACUUGUUGUUAUGCUCUCCUUUACAAAUAACAUAAUCUAGUUUGUUUUCUGUCUAAAUCUAUGAAUUAUGAAGCAUGAAUAACAUAAAUUGUUCUUCAGAUAUGUAUCAGAACAUUUCUUAUGCAAGUUUAUUUCUUAAUUUUAUGAAUAAUAAUUGCUAAAGAAUGGUAUCUACUCUGAAUAAGUUUUAAAAAGCUUUAUAGCUUCAUAUAAAAUGAAGAUAACUGAUUGUAAAGAUUAAUAAUUUUGUUUUGUUGAUGGUGCAGCUGUUUAAUUUUUUAAGUCAUUUGUAAGAUGCAGGCUAUGAAACUAAACAGUAAGGAGUAGUCUCAUAAGUAGACCCAUUUUUUAAUAAAAAACAUUUUUUGAUAAAAUAGCAUUUACUUCCAUCAACCACAGUUAAGGAAAAAAACGUCAUUGUCAGUUAAGACUCAAGCAUUUUAAAACUAUGGAAUCUUGAUGAUUUGAUACCUUGAGCCGACAAAAAAGUAAAUUAGACUUCAUUAGUUGAAAUGUAGGCAACAUCAGUAUUUAAAUAAGAACUGUAUUUACCAGUUAAGAUGUGACUAAGAAAGAGUCAUUAUGUGUGCAAGAGAAUAGUAAUUUUAUGAAACUUCUUCAAAUGCAGUUUAAAAGGAUCAUUGCAAGGCUUAGAAAUCACCGAACAAACCAUUACCUGGACAAACUUAAAUUGUUGGAAAAUGGUGGGAGUGUUGAAAAAAUUCUCAAAUUUUCCAAAUACUUUAGUAGUCUUAACCAGGGAUCUAAAUCAUGGCUGUUUUAUAAUAUUCUUAUGUACUGUACUUAUUCAUAUUCGAACUUUACAUUAGAAUAAGUAUUUUUUAAA